rnacentral:rRNA from 1 species
GUCUAUGGCCAUACCACCCUGAACACACCCAAAUUUUUCUGAUCUUGGAAGCUAAGUAGAGUCAGGCCUGGUUAGUACUGGGAUAGGAGAAAAAGUUUUUUGACC